AUGGAGCUGGACCAUUCUCUUCCUCGUGUCAGUAACUACAGUGUCCACUCCCAGGUCCAGCUGCAGCAGUCUGAGGUUGAGCUGGUGAAACCUGGGUCCUCAGUGAAGUCCUGCAAGGCUUCAGGCUACACCUUCACUAGCUAUACUACGCACUGGGUGAAGCAGGGUCCUGGACAAGGCCUGGAGUGGAUUGGAAUUAUUGGUUGUGGAAGUGGUAGUACUAACUACGAUCAGAAGUUCAAGGACAAGGCCAAACUGACUGCAGACAAAUCCUCCAGCACAGCCUAUAGGGAUCUCAGCAGCCUGACGUCUGAGGACUCUGCGGUCUAUUACUGUGCAAGAGACACAGUGUUGUAA